GGCCAAUACCGCGGGAGCCCGCCGCCGAUCACGCCACCAGCGUCCGGCACCGGCAGGCUGAGAGGGCGUCAGAGCCGACCGCUUGACCUGAUCCGGUUAGUACCGGCGUAGGGAAGGACUCCUCCAUGGGCA
rnacentral:ncRNA from 1 species